GGUGAAAAGAACAAAGUUUUGUCCAUCUUUGUUAAUCAUAGCUAAAAGUUAGAGAAGAGAAAGAGAGGAGAAAGCUCUUGAGUAUUUGGUCAUUAGGAGGAGGAAAAUUGAAGGAAAUCCCAAACCAUAGUGGGCUUGGAGCUGUGAGGGAAUUCGGAGUGGCCACCAGUUCUGAAAGUUUGAUUUUCCUCUGGUGAACUGGACAUCCUUUUAUUUACGUUUGAAGUUUUGGGUUUUUUUCAAUGUAAUAAGGCCGCUUAAUUAUUUUUGAUGGUUUUAAUAUGUAUUACUAAGAUAGGUAUUACUUAUUUUAACUGUUGAAAUUGGAUAGCUUUAGGGCGCGUUUUCAAAAACAACAAUUGAUUUCAAAAUAACUCGACAACAAGCAAAGCUUCCGCAAUGAAA